rnacentral:tRNA from 2 species
GCGCCCGUAGCUCAGCUGGAUAGAGCACUGUCCUCCGACGGCAGGGGCCGGGGGUUCGAAUCCCUCCGGGCGCGCCA